rnacentral:rRNA from 1 species
AGAGUUUGAUCCUGGCUCAGAAUGAACGCUGGCGGCGUGCCUAACACAUGCAAGUCGGAUGUGCCGCAAGGUGCAUGGCAGACGGGUGAGUAACGCGUAGGGAAUCUACCUUUUUGUGGGGAAUAACGCUCCGAAAGGAGUGGUAAUACCGCAUGAGACCGUGGCCUGGGAUGGUUACGGUGAAACCUGGGGACCGCAAGGCCUGGGGCAAAGAGAGGAUCCUGCGUCUGAUUAGCUAGUUGGCGGGGUAAUGGCCCACCAAGGCGACGAUCAGUAGCCGGCCUGAGAGGGUGAUCGGCCACACUGGAACUGAGACACGGUCCAGACUCCUACGGGAGGCAGCAGUGGGGAAUUUUGCGCAAUGGACGAAAGUCUGACGCAGCAACGCCGCGUGGGUGAUGAAGGUCUUCGGACUGUAAAACCCUGUCGUCAGGGACGAAGGUCUGGGGGUUAAUAACCCUUAGGCUUGACGGUACCUGGAGAGGAAGCCCCGGCUAACUCUGUGCCAGCAGCCGCGGUAAUACAGAGGGGGCAAGCGUUAAUCGGAAUUACUGGGCGUAAAGCGUGCGCAGGCGGUUUUGUAAGACAGUCGUGAAAUCCCCGGGCUCAACCUGGGAAUUGCGAUUGUGACUGCAAAGCUGGAGUGCGGCAGAGGGGGAUGGAAUUCCGCGUGUAGCAGUGAAAUGCGUAGAUAUGCGGAGGAACACCGAUGGCGAAGGCAAUCCCCUGGGCCUGCACUGACGCUCAUGCACGAAAGCGUGGGGAGCAAACAGGAUUAGAUACCCUGGUAGUCC